rnacentral:lncRNA from 1 species
UAAAAGAAAUGGAGAGGAUGAGGUCUUUGUCCUACCUGACUUUAGAUGCUGGACAGGGGCUGUAGAAAYAUUUGAAGUACAUUCCAGUGGAAGAAGUAUCUAGCAUUUCUUUUGCCUUUGCUGGUCACUGUAGUAUUGAUAGUAUUUCUCUCUAGGUCCUCUGCUUUUCAAGAGGCUCUUUCUGUGCAUCCCUAACUGCUGCCAUCAAUGAGCUUCUCCUCAAGUGGAGUUAAAGGAAAACAGGAACUCUUCAAUUUCAAGAGUAUCCUUGGGGUGCAUGAGAGGAUCUACAUAUACAGGUAUGGGAGGAUUCAAUUUCAGUUAUCAAGGCAGUAACAAGAUUUGCCAUGAGUGGAAGGAGGAGUCUGGCUCUCAGUCUUUCCAAUGCCCUUCCAUUUUAAGAACAGUCACGAAUUCUUUUCUUUUUUUAAAUAAUGAUGAGAGCAAUCAACGUCUGCCAAAAGCAAAUGAUGUGUCGGCUUACCAUAAGUUCCUUGUCAGGUCCAGGUUUCCCUGCCGUGGAGGACUGGGACCUCAGAGAGAUGGACAUCUGGGGAUGGGGACUGCCACAGCUGUUUUCAGAUCUGCUUAA